AUUGAACGCUGGCGGCAUGCCUUACACAUGCAAGUCGAACGGUAACAGGUCUUCGGAUGCUGACGAGUGGCGAACGGGUGAGUAAUACAUCGGAACGUGCCUAGUAGUGGGGGAUAACUACUCGAAAGAGUGGCUAAUACCGCAUGAGAUCUACGGAUGAAAGCAGGGGAUCGCAAGACCUUGUGCUACUGUAGCGGCCGAGGGCAGAUUAGGUAGUUGGUGGGAUAAAAGCUUACCAAGCCGACGAUCUGUAGCUGAUCGGAGAGGACGAUCAGCCACACUGGGACUGAGACACGGCCCAGACUCCUAAGGGAGGCAGCAGUGGGGAAUUUUGGACAAUGGGCGCAAGCCUGAUCCAGCAAUGCCGCGUGCAGGAUGAAGGCCUUCGGGUUGUAAACUGCUUUUGUACGGAACGAAAAGCCCUGGGUUAAUACCCUGGGGUCAUGACGGUACCGUAAGAAUAAGCACCGGCUAACUACGUGCCAGCCGCCGCAGUAA
rnacentral:rRNA from 1 species